rnacentral:rRNA from 1 species
UACUCGAGUGGCGAACGGGUGAGUAACACGUGGGUGAUCUGCCCUGCACUUCGGGAUAAGCCUGGGAAACUGGGUCUAAUACCGGAUAGGACGAUGGUUUGGAUGCCAUUGUGGAAAGUUUUUCGGUGUGGGAUGAGCUCGCGGCCUAUCAGCUUGUUGGUGGGGUAAUGGCCUACCAAGGCGUCACGGGUAGCCGGCCUGAGAGGGUGGACGGCCACAUUGGGACUGAGAUACGGCCCAG